UCUGCAUGACCCACAGAAUAUGGCUGAAAACAUGCUGCUGACUUCCAAAUCCAGGUCAUAGAACUCACCGAAGCUUCUGCGUUGAUCCCGUGGACUCCUUGCUCUGGAGGAAGCUGGCAGACAUGAAGUGGUGAUGUUCAAGCAGCCCAUGUCAAGACGAAGGCCUCCUGCCAACAGCCAGUAUCAGCCUGGCACUUAUGUGGGUACACCAUUUUGGAAGUCGAUCCUCCGGCCAACAUUUGACUACAACCUCACAAGAGAUCAAGAACCAGAGCAGCCCAGCCAAACUCCUCCCAAAUUUCUGAUAAUCAGAAAUGACCCCUACAGGAGGACUGAGGUGUUUGAAUGGAGAAUAGGGGAGGAGUUCUUCCUUCUCUUUCUCUUUUGAGUUUUCUCUGCCAGCAGGGAACACGCAAUCCGCGCUGUUCUUCCGUGUAUCUGUCUAGCACCAUAGAUGAUGAGCCUGUCCUUCUGCCUGAAGAGAAGAUAAGGCCCGACUGUCUCUUCUGCAUUCUGCAUCUCUGAGUAUCCACUUCAAAACUACAUGCAGGGCUCCUUGGACGCAUGGGAGAAUCUGGUUGCCUAAUAUUCUGAGAAAAUUUAGCAGACAGUCAGCUGUGGCCUAGCUCUGGCCUUUAUGGUGAUAACAUCAUAGAUGGUCAGAUGUCCUUCAUCAGCUAUCUGUAACCUCAUUAUUUAGCAGAUGGAUUAGUAGAGUCCUGUGGAAAGCAGAUAAUGAGACUGAGAUCUAUCUGAAAUGUGCCCUGCCUCUUUCUUUCACAAGGCUGUUGUAUAUGCAAGUCCCUCUGCCCGGGGUGCUGCCCACCAUCUUUUCCACAUCAGAAAUACAGCAUGAUGCAGUUUGUUGUUUGCUGAUUUUCUUCCAUAUCCAACAUGCUCCAAAUGUUUUUUUUUUUUUUUAAUUGAGCAAAAUAAG